rnacentral:rRNA from 1 species
AUUGAACGCUGGCGGCAGGCCUACCACAUGCAAGUCGAGCGGAGCGGCGGACGGGUGAGUAAUGCCUAGGAAUCUGCCUGGUCGUGGGGGAUAACGUCCGGAAACGGGCGCUAAUACCGCAUCCUCUCAGAUGAGCCUAGGUCGGAUUAGCUAGUUGGUGGGGAAAAGGCCUACCAAGGCGACGAUCCGUGACUGGUCUGAGAGGAUGAUCAGUCACACUGGAACUGAGACAAGGUCCCAACUCCUACGGGAGGCAGCAGUGGGGAGUAUUGGACAAGGGGCGAAAGCCUGAACCAGCCAUGCCGCGUGUGUGAAGAAGGUCUUAGGAUUGUAAAGCACUUUAAGUGGGGAGGCGUUACCGACAGAAGAAGCACCGGCUAACUUCGUGUCAGCAGCCGCGGUAAUUC